rnacentral:misc_RNA from 1 species
AAAAUCUCCGACCUGAUUACUGUGUGUGGAAGGCAACUGCAUAUUGUCUUGAAGUUAUAGAAAUGAUGUCUGUAUCGUUGUUGUUAGUUACCUUCGUUUUGAGGCAACGAUCUUGACUAAGAUUUACACUUGCUGCUAAUGGAGAUCGUGUUAUGAAUAUUCACGUGAAGUAGGGAAGCUCAGUCCGUCUUUUAUAUGGGACACCGCGGUGGGACAUAACCAUUUUAACAUGUUCGGACCUA